rnacentral:rRNA from 1 species
UACGUAGGGGGCAAGCGUUGUCCGGAUUUAUUGGGCGUAAAGAGCGUGUAGGCGGCUAGAUAGGUCCGUUGUGAAAACUCGAGGCUCAACCUCGAGACGCCGGUGGAAACCAUCUAGCUAGAGUCCGGAAGAGGAGAGUGGAAUUCCUGGUGUAGCGGUGAAAUGCGUAGAUAUUCGCAAGAACACCAGUGGCGAAGGCGGCUCACUGGCCCGGUACUGACGCUGAGGUGCGAAAGCGUGGGGAGCAAACAGG